GCCCGGUUAGCUCAAUUGGUCAGAGCGUCGGACUUUUACGGAAUCAUCCUGAUGCCGCAGCAAUCCGAAGGCUGCGAGUUCAAGCCUCGCAUCGGGCG